rnacentral:rRNA from 1 species
GACGUAGGGCGCGAGCGUUGUCCGGAUUUAUUGGGCGUAAAGAGCUCGUAGGCGGCUUGUCGCGUCGACUGUGAAAACCCGCGGCUCAACUGUGGGCUUGCAGUCGAUACGGGCAGGCUGGAGUUCGGUAGGGGAGACUGGAAUUCCUGGUGUAGCGGUGAAAUGCGCAGAUAUCAGGAAGAACACCAAUGGCGAAAGCAGCUCUCUGGGACGGUACUGACGCUGAGACGCGAAAGCGUGGGGAGCGAACAGG